UACGUAGGGUGCGAGCGUUAAUCGGAAUUACUGGGCGUAAAGCGUGCGCAGGCGGUUUUGUAAGCCGGAUGUGAAAUCCCCGGGCUUAACCCUGGGAAUGGCAUUCGGGACUGCAAGGCUGGAGUGCGGCAGAGGAGACGUGGAAUUCCUGGUGUAGCAGUGAAAUGCGUAGAUAUCAGGAGGAACACCAGACUGGAGCGGAAACGGACC
rnacentral:rRNA from 1 species